rnacentral:rRNA from 1 species
AUUGAACGCUGGCGGAAUGCUUUACACAUGCAAGUCGAACGGCAGCACGGACUUCGGUCUGGUGGCGAGUGGCGAACGGGUGAGUAAUAUAUCGGAACGUGCCCAGUCGUGGGGGAUAACGUAGCGAAAGCUACGCUAAUACCGCAUACGAUCUACGGAUGAAAGCGGGGGAUCGCAAGACCUCGCGCGAUUGGAGCGGCCGAUAUCAGAUUAGGUAGGUGGUGUAGGUAAAGGCUCAACAAGCCAACGAUCUGUAGCUGGUCUGAGAGGACGACCAGCCACACGGGGACUGAGACCCCGCCCAGACUCCUACGGGAGGCAGCAGUGGGUAAUUUUGGACAAUGGACGCAAGUCUGAUCCAGCCAUUCCGCGUGCAGGACGAAGGCCUUCGGGUUGUAAACUGCUUUUGUACAGAACGAAAAGGUCUCUAUUAAUACUAGGGGCUCAUGACGGUACUGUAAGAAUAAGCACCGGCUAACUACGUGCCAGCCGCCGCGGUAA